rnacentral:rRNA from 1 species
AUUGAACGCUGGCGGCAUGCUUUACACAUGCAAGUCGAACGGCAGCGCGGGCUUCGGCCUGGCGGCGAGUGGCGAACGGGUGAGUAAUGCAUCGGAACGUGCCCAGUAGUGGGGGAUAGCCCGGCGAAAGCCGGAUUAAUACCGCAUACGACCUGAGGGUGAAAGCGGGGGACCGAAAGGCCUCGCGCUAUUGGAGCGGCCGAUGUCGGAUUAGCUAGUUGGUGGGGUAAAGGCUUACCAAGGCGACGAUCCGUAGCUGGUCUGAGAGGACGACCAGCCACACUGGGACUGAGACACGGCCCAGACUCCUACGGGAGGCAGCAGUGGGGAAUUUUGGACAAUGGGGGCAACCCUGAUCCAGCCAUGCCGCGUGCGGGAAGAAUGCCUUCGGGUUGUAAACCGCUUUUGUUCGGGAAGAAAUCCUCUGGGCUAAUACCCCGGGGGGAUGACGGUACCGGAAGAAUAAGCACCGGCUAACUACGUG